rnacentral:rRNA from 1 species
UGGGGAAUAUUGCACAAUGGGCGAAAGCCUGAUCCAGCAAUGCCGCGUGUGUGAAGAAGGCCUUCGGGUUGUAAAGCACUUUUGUCCGGAAAGAAAUCCUUGGCUCUAAUACAGUCGGGGGAUGACGGUACCGGAAGAAUAAGCACCGGCUAACUACGUGCCAGCAGCCGCGGUAAUACGUAGGGUGCAAGCGUUAAUCGGAAUUACUGGGCGUAAAGCGUGCGCAGGCGGUUUGCUAAGACCGAUGUGAAAUCCCCGGGCUCAACCUGGGAACUGCAUUGGUGACUGGCAGGCUAGAGUAUGGCAGAGGGGGGUAGAAUUCCACGUGUAGCAGUGAAAUGCGUAGAGAUGUGGAGGAAUACCGAUGGCGAAGGCAGCCCCCUGGGCCAAUACUGACGCUCAUGCACGAAAGCGUGGGGGAGCAAACAGGAUUAGAUACCCUGGUAGUCCACGCCCUAAACGAUGUCAACUAGUUGUUGGGGAUUCAUUUCCUUAGUAACGUAGCUAACGCGUGAAGUUGACCGCCUGGGGAGUACGGUCGCAAGAUUAAAACUCAAAGGAAUUGACGGGGUCAUAGCUGUUUCCU